rnacentral:rRNA from 1 species
CCUACGGGGGGCUGCAGUGGGGGAUAUUGCACAAUGGGGGAAACCCUGAUGCAGCGACGCCGCGUGUGGGAAGACGGUCUUCUGGAUUGUAAACCACUGUCCCCAGGGACGAAAAUGACGGUACCUGGGGAGGAAGCUCCGGCUAACUACGUGCCAGCAGCCGCGGUAAUACGUAGGGAGCAAGCGUUGUCCGGAAUUACUGGGUGUAAAGGGAGCGUAGGCGGGGAUGCAAGUUGGGUGUCAAAACUACCGGCUCAACCGAUAGUCGCACUCCAAACUGCAACUCUUGAGUGAAGUAGAGGCAGGCGGAAUUCCUAGUGUAGCGGUGAAAUGCGUAGAUAUUAGGAGGAACACCAGUGGCGAAGGCGGCCUGCUGGGCUUUUACUGACGCUGAGGCUCGAAAGUGUGGGGAGCAAACAGGAUUAGAUACCCGAGUAGUC